CCGGAACGUCCGGUAGCGCCGUAAGAGGGAAAAUCAGGGAAUUCGAUGCACCUGUGCCUAGUUAGGGACAGCGGUUGGUGAUUGGAGGAUACGCUGGACAAGGCAGUACUUAAGGCCAAGUUAUUUCACAGUCUGGGAGCUCUUUCUGGCUGGAAUUGUAUGAUUGUGAAGACAUCGCGAACCUUAAAGGUUGAGAAGUGAACGGAUUAUACGGCGAAUUGAGACGACGUGAAAAAGGGGAUUGGAAGCGGCAUUGAUGUGAGUACUAAGAGCAAGCCGAAAGUGCCCUGUAUAUUGACCUGGCGUUGUGUAGAUCUCCCCAGGAGGAGGGCGGCCCUACCCCUAAUAUAGCGUGGUGGGAGAGCCGAAGGAAUACUUAUUGAAGUAGUCACAACGACGACAUCACUAGCUAGACCGCAUAUUCCAUCGCCAGAUCCGAACCAAGCGAAGUGAAGGAAGACGGGUGUCCUUUUCGUACACUGAGUGUGGUGGGUGUGUCUUCGUGCUGUGAAAACCUAUAAUUUUGACGUGGUUCUGUAUAUUGCUGUGGGUUGCUGUGUAUUGCCAUGUGUCCUGUCAGAUAAACCCCCGCCUUCACGCACUCCGUCGCGGGAGGAAAAGGAGACUGCUGGUUCUAGCCUAGUUCAGUACAGUAUAUGUUGUGAGCGUGCUUCAGAUCUCCGGAGACAGUACAGUACGCUGUGUUCAGCCCAGAGGUGAGAGCCAUUCAAAGCAAACUAACUGUGCUAUUGUGCCCAAGUUGAUACCUGUGGAGAGAAAAGGAGAGAGAGUGGGUAACAUGAGGAGAGACCGAGGAAACCUGUACUUACGCCGCUGCCUGUGGAGAAAGAGAAAGCGAGUGAGCACCCAAGGAACGAACUGUGUGAACCAGUACUUACUGUGAGCUGCAAUCAGCGAAGAGGUGAGAGCAAUACCAAGCCGAAUUAACUGUGCCUUUGCGUCCCAGCCGUUGCCUGUGGAGGAAGAGAAAGAGAGUGAGCACCCCGAGAACGAACUGUGUGAACCAGUACUUACCGUGAGUUGUAUUCAGCGAAGAGGAAGAAGGAGGGCGCUACGGAUACCUAAGACUCUGGCCGGGCCCCGAGUCCCACGCCCCGGAUCCCCGUGGCCCCCUUGCUCCCUGACCUCUUCCCGGCCAUAGCCCAUCUGGAGGGCCGAGUCAGAGUUUAGUUUUAAUUGCCCUUUCCCUAUUCCCCAAGCUAUUUUUAAAUAUUUAAAUAAAGAUUGUUUUAUCA